UAGGCUGCAACUCGCCUACACGAAGCCGGAAUUGCUAGUAAUGGCAGGUCAGCAUACCGCCGUGAAUACGUUCCCGGGCCUUGUACACACCGCCCGUCACACCAUGAGAGUUGGGGAUACCCGAAGCCUGUGAGCUAACUUUUAGAGGCAGCAGUCGAAGGUAGAAUCAAUGAUUGGGGUGAAGUCGUAACAAGGUAAC
rnacentral:rRNA from 1 species